ACCAAUCACCGAUUGAUGCCUGUUACAAACGAAACCUAAACGGAGGCAUGAAUGUCACUCACUUCAGUUCUGUUGACUGUGGAAAUUGGGAAAACCAACACCGGCGGAAGUCGGUCAACAUCGACGGAGGCUUUAAGUCUUCUUUUCUGUCCAUCUUUCUCGCAAUGAAUCAAAGGAAGCUGCUUCUCAAUGAGAGAGUGGAGGUUAGGCAAUUUGAGGAAGGACUGCGAGGCUCUUGGCACCCUGGUGUGGUUGUUGGUGUCUCCAAAUUAUGCCGUUCUGUUGAAUAUGAUGAACUCUUGAGUGAAACAGGUGACUCAAAGCUCGUCGAGUCGAUCCCUGUCACAGAGGCAAUUGAAGGCCUUCAUUCUCGCCGUCAUGUUCCGUCAACAUAUCGUGGGCAUAUUCGACCUUCACCUCCAUCAUCUGAUAAAAAGUUUUCUUUUGGGGUCUGUGUUGAUGUCUUGUUUGAGGAUGCAUGGUGGGAAGGUGUUGUUUUUGAUUGUCAUGAUGAUGCAGAUGAGCGGUUAGUGUUUUUUCCUGAUGAGGAUGAUGAGCAAAAAUUUAGCACAAGUCACUUGCGUUUAGCUCGAGAUUGGGAUGAAUUCUUGGGUAUUUGGCGUGAACGUGGUGUUUGGAUUUUGGUGCGGUUGGCCAUGGAGCUUGAGGGACAUGUUCCCUCAUCUAAUUAUGUUAAAAAGAUUUGGUCAUACUUGCGGUUAAAUUAUGGGUUUAAUAAAAUGAUAUCAGAGUGGACUUGUGGUGCUCGAAAUGUUUGGAGAAAGUACUACAUGGAUGUUGUUCAUGAAACUGCAGUUGAAUCAAGCCGACAGGUUCUUCAUGAUCUGAAUCUGACUCCUGUAAUGGAGAAAAAAGGAAAGACAGCAAAAGACUCUAAGCGUGUUAAGAUAAUGUCAGGAUUAUAUAUUACUUCUCUGAAGGAAAGAAAUCGUGGUGCGUUGAAUGUUUCCAGAUCAAGUCAAAAAACACAAGAGAAAUAUUUUCCGCAUGAAUGGCCCCGAAACAAGAGGACUUUGAAGUCGAAAUCGAGGUCUAUGAAGUGGUCAUCAAUAACUAUUACUAAAAAGAGUAGCUUUCAUGCUGAUAAUUGUUGUGGUGGAACACAAGUAAUAGAUCUUUCAUCAUCCACAAUGAAUGAUAAUGUGAAAGCUAAAACUGAUAACAUCUCUGGUAAUUCUUUUGGUCGGGAUAAAGUGGCAAUUUCUGUUUCGCUGUCCACACAAAAUAAGCAUCCUGGUGAAGUGAAAUUAGAUGUAGAGAAGAAAAAAAAUCUCAAAGUUUGUGAAGUUGAUGGUAACCAGUGCUUGGUUGAUUGUUCAGAACAAGAGAAAAUUGUUCAUGUUAAAAAGAAUGGGUCAAUUAGGAGAAGGGAAAAUUUGACCAAGUCUAGACAAAUCAAAAUAAAUCUUGCUAUUAAUUUUCCCAACUGCAGUCGAAAGCUGCGGAAGAAGAAGCCUUCACUUGUUACUGUCACGAAGCAGAGAAAAUGUUCAUCAACAAAGGAAAGGGUCUCAAAGGAAUUUCAGCGUGCCAAUUCAAAAUUAAAGUCUUUAUCUAAGGUGGAAGAGAAGGUAGUAGAUAUUAAACCAGCUAAGAAUUAUUUAUCCAUUGAUCAAUGCCAUCGUGCUCUGCCUAUCAAGAAUUGUAGGAAGAGUGUUAGUCCUAAAAGUAAGAGGUCUCAUCCUAGGAAGAGUAAAAGGAGGAGGGGAUUUUGUGGCAUUGGUGACACUAUAUGUAGUUUUUGUCACUAUGGGGGAGAUCUUAUGUGCUGCAACAAGUGCCCAUCUUCAUAUCAUUUGAGUUGCCUUGACCUCAAGGAUGUUCCACAUGGAAAAUGGCUUUGUCCGUCUUGCUGCUGUGGGCUAUGUGGCAAAGGUGACAAUUCACUUUUCAAUAAUGCUUGUCUGCAGUGUGGCCGCACAUAUCAUGUGUACUGCUUGAGUAAAGCUAGAUGUUUGCUUCCUAUGGACUAUCCAUCAGAGAAUUUUUGCAGCAAAGCUUGCUAUGAGUUAUGUGCCCAACUUCAUCAACUUUUGGGAAUUUCAAACCCUACUUCUGUGGAUGGCUUGACAUGGACAUUGACAAGAUCAUCGAAAAAUGUUUACAGUUUUCCUGGUAUAUCAAGGAGUAAUACUUGCAUCAAGUUAUCUCAUGUUCUCAGGGUUAUGCAUGAGUGUUUCAUACCAGUUAAGGACCCUCAUACCAAGAGAGAUCCAGUUAGAGAUCUUGUUUACAAUUCAGGGUCCAAACUUAGAAGGUUGAAUUUUCAUGGAUUUUAUGCUAUUGUUUUGCACAGAGGUGAUGAAAUUGUAUCUGUUGCCACAGUGAGAAUCCAUGGACUAAAGGCUGCAGAGAUGCCUCUUGUUGCUACCCCUUUCCAAUAUCGUCGACAGGGAAUGUGUCGACUUCUUUUGCAUGAGCUGUUGAAGUUGCUCACCAAAUUAGGUGUUGAGAGAUUAGUCUUGCCGGCAAUAGCUCAGUUGAGAAAGACAUGGGAAACCUCCUUUGGAUUUUCGGAAAUGCAUAAAUCUGAAAGGCUACAACUUUCAGGCUAUUCCUUUAUGGGAUUUCAGGGGACCAUCAUGCUGCAGAAAGUUCUUAGCAGUUCUGGGCUAGCAAAUGAAACAAAAGGAACAUGUCAAGAUUCCAAAGAAAGUUCAUCUAGUAUAUGUCUGGAGCAUAAUUAUGGGGCUAACAUUGAGAGCAGAUUCUGUGGCUUAUUUUAUCGGCGCAAGGAAAAAGCAAAAAUUAUUGGGAAAGAAAAUAUGGUCAAUGGCUGCAAUGGGAACAUGCAAAUGUAUGCUCAAGUGUACAAGCGGAGGCGUAUACUAGGUUGCAGAGAGUGAACAAUCGCUGGUGAUGAAUAUAUCAAUGUCAUCAGUGACUCUUGAAGAAGGAAUCUCGACCUUACAUCAUCUAGAGGAACUGCAACAAAGGUAAAAUGCAAAAUGUGCUAAACGUCGUUUACUGUUUAUUAAAUGGUUUUAGGUUUUUAUAGUUGAAAAUGUUAGUGUUGUCGUUGAUUUCUAGGAAAAUAGAUACUUUAUGAACUUUUUCUUGUAUGUACUGAAUAAUGGUAACAAGUGGUCGCCCUCCAUUCUUGUGCUUAUAAGCAGUAAAUAAUUUGACAUAUAUAAUAUGAUUUUGAGUAUGUGGUUUGCUUCUUUUGAUGCUUACUGAUCAGUUUGUAUUUUGGCUAGUUUAGUUGAUUUAACAUUUAAUUAUCAAGGUGGAUGGGAAUGUAGAAAUGCUGCAUAUUUUUAUAAGGAUGGAGAUGCUAACAUAUUGCCAAGCUUUAACCUUGGUUUUCCGUUGUUUAUAGAUAUUGGGGAAGGUCUGAAAAUUAACGUUGAAUUUAGGUUCUAGCUGAAAGCUAGGAUGAACUAGAAUUUAGGUGAAGAAUUAGGGCUUAUUAAAGGAUGGAUUUAGAAGUGAAUUUAACUGAGAGGAGAUUUGUGGAUUGUGAAUAGUAAAAUAAAUUGGUUAGGCUUCAUAAUUAAGACUUACUUAGCCAUCAGACUUGGGGUUUGACGCGGGGCUUGUCUUCACAAUCCCGCAAAUUACAUGCGUAGGGCGCAUACCAGCAGAUUACACACACCCAGGGUGUGUCUGUGAUGGGUCAGCAGUAUGCAGCUUCAUUUUUUCACUCCAAACUUGCCCACAAAUUUUGUCAAGAUAUAGCUACAGAUUUAGUUUAGAUUUAGUUUUCCUAUUUUAAUUAGGAUAGUUAUUUAAGUUCCUAUCUUAGUUGUUAAAGGUGCACCGGAGGCACAAGGCGCACGAGGCUUAGUAUCUAGCGCCCCAACACCCAAAAGGCGGGUGACCUUCACCAGGCACACCAAGGCACGCCUCGUGCAGGUUAGGCCCAAUCAGCCCUUAAUAGAAGACAAAGGAACAAAAUAAGUGGUUUCUCACAUGUAUCACCUUCGGCAGACCUAGUGAAGCAAAUACAACAAGAGAGAGAGAGAGAGAGAGAGAGAGAGAGAGAGAGAGAGAGAAGAAUAAGACGAAGAAUAGGAAAAAGAAAGAAUAUCUGAUCUGGGCCUUGCUCCUCGAAAUAUCAAUCUUUAGGUAUUUAUUUAUUUAUUUAUUUUAAUUUCCUUCUUCAAUCUUCCUUCUCUUCUCUCUCCUUUAUUUCUAAUUUCACGCUGGCAUGCUGCCUUUUUUUUUUUUUUUUUGCCAACUCUAAAAUUCUUUGCUAGUGCUGAUGCUACCCUUUUUUUUGGCUGCCUACACUAAAAGUUCUGUGCUGUUUUUUUUUUUCUUGCUUUUUUUUACUGUUAAAAAAUAAAAACAACCUGUUCUCAUUUUAUGUAAUUAAGGCUUUUAGAGAUUUUGAAUUAUUUUCCUUAACAAAAAAUUUCUUGUUGAUGCCAUUAAAUAAAGUAGCAAUUGAAAUUGCAAAACCAUUUUCUACUAAUUAUGAUUUGGAAAAUUUAUAAUAGAAGAAAUUAACAUAAAAAUUGUAUGGUUAAUCUCUUUAAAACUUUUCUACAAUCAAAUUUUUUGAAGAUAUUAAAGAUAAAUAACAAUUAUAUGUAUAUAAUUUGUAAUAAAAUUUCAUUUUAUCAAUAAAAUUCUAUAACUAUGAAAGUAGAUAAAUUUAAAUAGUUAUCUUAUGUUAUUUGAAUUUUAAUAUAUUAUUCACAUUUAUUUAUUUAUUUAUUUUUUAAUUUUUGCUCCUUAGUGCGCCUUGAGCCUUUAGUAACUUUGUUUCCUACUUUAUCUAGGAUUUUACUUCUUUCCUAUUUUAUGAAGAUUUCCUAUUGUGUUUUAGUUUAUCUAAACUUCCUAGAAAGUAGAUUUAUUUUCCUAUUAGGUUUAGGAGAUUAAAACUCUACAAAUAGCCCCAUAUAUUCUGUGCAUUUUCAGUUUUUGAGUGUUGAUUGAUAAAAUUCUGUUGAGAAUUUCUCUCAAAUACUUGUGUUUUGUGUGUGGAGAGUGUUCUAUUUUUGCUUCACGCUGUGUCAAGGUUCCAUAUGCAUCACACCUAGGCUUGCGUCACACAACUUGAAACAUAUCUCCUGGAAUUUGUAUUGACCAAAAUUUUGAAACAACAUUACAAAUAUAGGUAUUUAUAGACUUAAAAGGUAACUUUAACAUUUAAGAAUUUGGACUCGAAAAAGUAAAACUUAAAGUAAUCAAAAAAGUAAUUCCAAAAUGGUAAUCCUUAACUAACACUCGAAGUAAAGACUUCUAUAGAAAUUUAGAUCUUUCUAGAAAAUCUGAAAUUGCAAAAAUACCCCCAUGAAUAUUUUAAAUAGACAUAUAAGCAAAAAUCUAAAAGAACUAGAAAGAGCUCUAUAAUUUUCCCAAUAAAUCUAUGUUAAAACAAAAUCAUUAUCCUAAGCGUCUUGAGUGUUUGAAUGUAAAUUUUCUUGAAUUCCUUGGCUUCAUUAGGAUAUCUAUAUUUAAGAUCUUGGAUUCCUUAAUGUGUAUUGAUUCAUGAACCAGGAAAGUCACUUAAUGAUGGCUUAUUUGUGGUAUAUGAUGAUAGUGGCCUUAAGAAGAUUACUGAGUAUAUUAGGAUAAAUGAAUACAUAAACACAUAGGCUGACCAUGAUAUGGACAUGUCAAACUAUGGUGAUGAAUGUUGCUCUGCUUGAUAUUGUUGAGAAUUUGGAUGGUGGUGUCAAUGUUGCUAAUGAGACUCUGUUAAAUGGUGAAGGUGUGGAGUGUGAAGGUCAGGGAAUAGGGGUUGACAGGAUAAAUGAGCCAGCUGGAUUUAGGGAUGGUUUUUGGACACAGGGUGGUUGUAUGAAUAAUGAUAUAUUUAUGAUUUCUGGUUUGAGAGCUUAAACAUUGAGGGUGUAGUUGGGAAUGAGGAUGGCAUAUACAGUCUCUUUGUAGAAUGGUCGUAACUGGUGUGAGUUCUAAACAGAUUCAGAGAGAAGGGGAACAAUUAUGAAGGGCAAACAAGUAGUAACUGAGGUAAUAGAUGAGGAUGAUGGAAUUAAAGUGAAUGUUGAAGUUUAAUUAGAGGUUAGUGAGUAUGAUUCAAUCAACACAAAUUAUAGUGAUGAAUCAGAUUUGGAGGAAAUAAAUGAUGAUCUGGAAGAGGAACAGAGUAGAUACAGUUCUGGUAGUGAUGGGAACAAAUGUAUUUCUCAUUUGAUGAUCCAGGGUCAUAUGAGUCUAAUAAUGACACAUCUGGUAAGAAAUAGAUGUUGUAGUGUGGAGAAAAAGUUGGAGAGCAGGAUAUGAUAGCUCAGUGCAAAAUCCCAUAUUUAGCCAUGGAAUAAAAUUUUCUAUUGUAACUGAAUUUAGAGAAGCUAUAGCAAAGUAGUUGGUUGCUUGGGGUGUUAGGGUGGCAUUUAUAAAGAAUGAGCCAGAUAGAUUAAGGGAAAAGUGUUGACGUGGUUUCCCUUUUUUAAUUUUUGCAAGCACGGAAAGUGAAAAUGAUCUUGUCAUUUUGAGUACAUUCAAAGUUGCCUACAGAUGCUAUAAGGUUUUUAAGAAUCCUGGAGCAAGUGCUCAUUUUCUUGCAAAGAUACAUUCAGCUUCAAUGGUACCACGUUAAACAUUGAGAAAAAAUGGCAUGACAUCUCUUUCUUGAACUACGUAAUCUUUACCGUCAGAUCUCAACAGUCCUUUUAACCUUGCUGCUGCUGAAUAAAAGAAUUUAUCACAAACCACAUGCAGAGAUAAAAAAUUUGAAGCGGGGCAUAAUUUGAUAUCCGAAUGUAAUAGAGUGAAGAGACAUUUGCUGACCAAAAUGGAUGGUAGUUGUGGGUUGAGCAUGAUUGUGUAUAGACAUAUGCUACUGAGAUAGUGACAUCAAACUAUGAGUCCGUUUGUAAGGUUGAAUUAUGUAGGGAUUAAGGCAAGGAAAGAGGGUAUUUGAUAGGACAAUUAUAUGCUUUGAUAGAUGCAAGAAAGGUUGGGUGAGUGGCUAUAAAUAUAUUAUAGGCAUGAAUGAAUGUUUUUAAAAGGACAUUUGCAAGGGACAAGUAUUUUUUGCAAUGGAAAAAUAUUGAAACAAACACAUUUUUCCUAUAGCAUGGGUUGUGCAUCUCUUUAAAGAUGAAGACAAUCUGAAGUGAUUCUUAGAAUUACUGGUUCUAGAGCCUGGGCUGAGAAAUGGAGCAUGCUUGGCUUGGUAUUAGAUGUGCAAAAGGAUUUGUUGCUAGCAAUCAGGGAACUGUUGCCUUAAGCUGAGCAUAGAUAUUGUGAUAGGCAUAUCUAUGCAAAUUAAGAGUACAAAUUAAGAGUACAAGAUAAAGAGGUCGAGAGUUGAAUAAGAGAUUUUGGGAAUGUGCUUGGAGUACAUAUGAAGAAGAGUUUAACAAUAACCUCAAUGGAUGAGGCAUACUACAGUAGCAGUUGCAAAAGUGACAUGAUGGACAACAAUGUUCCAGAAACUUUCGAUUCAUGAAUCAAGGAGGCAAGGGAUAAACCAAUUAUUUCAAUGUUGGAACACCUAAGAAUCUAAGUAAUGAAUAGGGUGGUUGAAAAUAGAAACUUUGCUAGCAAGUGGUAAAUGAAUGGAGUCUAAAGACCACGGAGGAGCAUCAGGAAAAUAUGAAGAAAUCAAGGCAAUGCAGAGUUCAAAUUAAUGGAGAUGAUGGCUAUGAAAUCAACCAUGGGAAAGAUGGCCAAACUAUAUUUUUUCUGUCAAGUUUGCACCUGUAGGGUAUGAAAUCUAGCUGGCAUUUCAUGCCCUUAUGCGAUAUGUACAUUAUUUCAUGACAAGCAGUUUAAUUUUAAAAUAAUUAAAGGUGUAAAAGUUAUGAAUUUUUAUUUUUUUGGUUCAUGGAGACUGGAAAACGAGAAGUGUAGUUUUUGGAAGUGAAAAAUAAAAAGAAUGUGAUGUAGAAAGGGUGAAAGUGAUGAAAAAUGGAGUGGAGAGGUGAGGGUGUACUGCUUAUUAGGGAUAAAAUGACCAUUUUAGUA